AUGAUUUAGGCAAUUUUGGUGGGGAUUAUGGUCACCUAUUUGAUAGAGAUUUUGUUGCUGGAGCAUUUAAGCCCACAGGUGGUUGAGAACUAGGGAGCUUUUGGAAAAGUCAUAAUUCUAGUUGGGUUAUGUAGGACGCUCUCCCAAAGAGGCUAUCACAUUUUUCUUCUUUUCCUUCUUCCACUAGACGUAGAACCCUAAUCACAAUUAUAUUUCUCUUAGUUAAUUUCAGUAUUCUCCUCAUUUACUUUGUCCGAGGGAGUGGUUCAUUUUGAUGGAGAUGAUUGAAGGUCUCCUUUGCAUCUUUACAUAGUACAAAAAUUUGGGAAAUGGAAACCACUAUGUGAAGAUCAUCCCCCAUAAAUGUUUUCCUUUUGAUAGAUUUACCACUAUGUAGUAAAUGUAAACGAGUUAGCUAAGUAUACCCCUAUUCUAUCCUGAUGUUCAAUUCUCCUAUUUACCCUUGGAUGAAGGCACAUAUUCCAGUGUUCCAAGGACCUACUUACCUCAGCAACCUCCUCUUUCCAGGUUUCUACUAAGGCAACAAAAGCACGUGCCACAAACAAGAAGCCCCAUUCAAACCAAACCUAAUCUUUGGCUGCUGGAUUGAUGUCCACCCUGCUAGACUCAGAGAGCUAAUACCGAAGAGCCUCGACCCCGCACUGGACCUCUAAUCAGAACCUAAAUCUAUUACCCAGUUUUGUAGUACUUAGCAUGUCCGACUCGGACUUGCCCAAGUUACUCGGACUGGCCGUGCUGGCCAGUUAUUUGAUUAAGUUUUGUUUGGACGCGGCUGAGUUUCUGACAGACUUGGUGGAUACUAUCAGACCUGACUUGGGAUCGCGACCCUAGCAAGUCUGAAACCGAGUCCUUAUUUUCUUAACACUACUAUUACCCAAACAAACCACCCCACUUCCCCUAUACUGGUAUCCAAACUUAGUUUUCCUACCACCAUUUUAACCUUUUGCACUAUCUUUUCAAGCCCCAGAAACCCUAGACGAGCUUGUACUUCACCUGCCAACGAAAAAUCUGUUCUUAUCCCUAAACAACCUUCUCCAAGGCCACCUUGAUUCUUUCCCAAUUCUUUUGUACCACGUACCCUAGAAUACGUCAUUGACUUCGAUACAAAUAGUGAGUCAUCCGUGAACUUCUUCACAGAUGUAACUUUUGCCAAUAUUAAGUGGGACUCUGGGAGUUAUUCUAGAAGGGAAAAAUGGGUUAUUCUAAGGGUUUCUAAAAAAAAAUGAUAUAUAGAAGCAACUUCAAAUGGAUUUGUUUUUUUGGCCUAAUAGUUUAAUGAAACUAUAUGAAUUGUAUGGGGAGAGUGGGCGUUAAACCUCAACUUAAUUCAAAGUUAAGGAAUUUUAUUGCGAAAAUGGGAGAUUUUAGACUUUUUGGGGAUAGACUAUGGGAGUCUCAUGAGAAGCCCGUUUAACAUUGUACUAUAUCUUACUGUUUACAUUAACAUUCUCCAAAAAACAAAAAAAUAUUGUACUAUGUCAUGAGAAGUAGCUGUUUCUUGUCAAAUUGUGGUUCUUCAGAGGCCCAUGUGGCAUUGAGGAUAUUCUAUUUUCAAUAUCUUGGUUAUAUCCCUUGUACAAGCUUUUCUUGUGUACAUUUUGGUUUCCUAUUCGACUAUAAACAUUAAAUUUUGUUUAAAUGAAACUAACCUGCAGUUCCUUAUAAAUGGGACUCAUCUUGAUUAAUCGUAUUAUUCUUUGUGAUUUUUCAGGCUUAGAAAACUGAAAGUUAUUCAUGAUAAAAUUGUGUCGUAAUGACAUUCCUCUUGUUCCCAACUGGUUAUUUGCAAGACAACAAUUUAUAAACAAAAUUUUCGAUUCCUACAGUUAAUACAAACAAAGUUGUCAAUUUUCUAAGGUUAUGUACUUCUUAUCAGCUGAAUGCACUAGAAUUUUGCAAAAUGAUUUGGAAAUGGAUAUGCCUACAUAGAUACCAACGAUGGCCUCCUUUUCCCAUCAUUGUGUGUCCCUUUUGGUCAUUACAAAUUUCAGUAAAGUAGCUUACAGCUUACCUAAGGAUUAGCGUGCAUGUGUGUGUGUGCGUGUGUGUGUGCAUGCGUGUGUGUGUGUGUGUGUGUGUAGAGAGAGAGAGAGAGAGAGAGAGAGAGAGAGAGAGAGAGAGAGAGA
rnacentral:lncRNA from 1 species